GACGAACGCUGGCGGCAUGCCUUACACAUGCAAGUCGAACGGUAACGGGCCUUCGGGUGCCGACGAGUGGCGAACGGGUGAGUAAUGCAUCGGAACGUACCUUUCAGUGGGGGAUAACGUAGCGAAAGUUACGCUAAUACCGCAUAUUCUGUGAGCAGGAAAGCAGGGGAUCGCAAGACCUUGCGCUGAUUGAGCGGCCGAUGUCAGAUUAGCUAGUUGGUGAGGUAAAGGCUCACCAAGGCGACGAUCUGUAGCGGGUCUGAGAGGAUGAUCCGCCACACUGGAACUGAGACACGGUCCAGACUCCUACGGGAGGCAGCAGUGGGGAAUUUUGGACAAUGGGGG
rnacentral:rRNA from 1 species